UCGGACUGUAGGCUGCAACUCGCCUACACGAAGUUGGAAUUGCUAGUAAUCGUGGAUCAGCAUGCCACGGUGAAUACGUUCCCGGGUCUUGUACACACCGCCCGUCACACCAUGGGAGCUGGUAACACCCGAAGUCAGUAGUCUAACCGCAAGGAGGACGCUGCCGAAGGUGGGAUUAGCGACUGGGGUGAAGUCGUAACAAGGUACC
rnacentral:rRNA from 1 species